UACAUGGGGUGCAAACGUUGCUCGGAAUUACUGGGCGUAAAGCGCACGUAGGCGGACUCUUAAGUCGGUGGUGAAAUCCUGGAGCUCAACUCCAGAACUGCCUUCGAUACUGAGAGUCUCGAGUCCGGGAGAGGUGAGUGGAACUGCGAGUGUAGAGGUGAAAUUCGUAGAUAUUCGCAAGAACACCAGUGGCGAAGGCGGCUCACUGGCCCGGUACUGACGCUGAGGUGCGAAAGCGUGGGGAGCAAACAGG
rnacentral:rRNA from 1 species